GAGUUUGAUCAUGGCUCAGAUUGAACGCUGGCGGAAUGCUUUACACAUGCAAGUCGAGCGGCAGCGCGGGGCAACCUGGCGGCGAGCGGCGAACGGGUGAGUAAUGCAUCGGAACGUGUCCACGUCGUGGGGGAUAGCCCGGCGAAAGCCGGAUUAAUACCGCAUACGCCCGAGAGGGGAAAGUGGGGGACCGCAAGGCCUCACGCGAUUGGGUCGGCCGAUGUCCGAUUAGCUAGUUGCGGGGUAAAGCCCACCAAGGCGAUGAUCGGUAGCUGGUCUGAGAGGAUGAUCAGCCACACUGGGACUGAGACACGGCCCAGACUCCUACGGGAGGCAGCAGUGGGGAAUUUUGGACAAUGGGGGCAACCCUGAUCCAGCCAUUCCGCGUGAGUGAAGAAGGCCUUCGGUU
rnacentral:rRNA from 1 species